GACGAACGCUGGCGGCGUGCUUAACACGUGCAAGUCGUACGGUAAGGCCCUUUCGGGGGUACACGAGUGGCGCACGGGUGAGUAACACGUGAGUAACCUGCCCACAACUUUGGGAUAACGCUAGGAAACUGGUGCUAAUACUGGAUAUGUGCUCCUGCUGCAUGGUGGGGGUUGGAAAGCUCCGGCGGUUGUGGAUGGACUCGCGGCCUAUCAGCUUGUUGGUGGGGUAGUGGCCUACCAAGGCGGCGACGGGUAGCCGGCCUGAGAGGGUGACCGGCCACAUUGGGACUGAGAGACGGCACAGACGCCUACGGGAGGCAGAAGUGGGGAAUAUUGAACAAUGGGCGCAAGCCUGAUGCAGCAACGCCGCGUGCGGGAUGACGGCCUUCGGGUUGUAAAACGCUUUCAGCAGGGACGAAGCUUUUUGUGACGGUACCUGCAGAAGAAGCACCGGCUAACUACGUG
rnacentral:rRNA from 1 species